AACGAACGCUGGCGGCAUGCCUAACACAUGCCAGUCGAACGAGACCUUCGGGUCUGGUGGCGCACGGGUGCGUAACGCGUGGGAACCUGCCCUUAGGUUCGGAAUAACUCCCCGAAAGGGGUGCUAAUACCGGAUAAUGUCUUCGGACCAAAGAUUUAUCGCCUUUGGAUGGGCCCGCGUUGGAUUAGCUAGUUGGUAGGGUAAAAGCCUACCAAGGCGACGAUCCAUAGCUGGUCUGAGAGGAUGAUCAGCCACACUGGGACUGAGACACGGCCCAGACUCCUACGGGAGGCAGCAGUGGGGAAUAUUGGACAAUGGGCGAAAGCCUGAUCCAGCAAUGCCGCGUGAGUGAUGAAGGCCUUAGGGUUGUAAAGCUCUUUUACCCGGGAUGAUAAUGACAGUACCGGGAGAAUAAGCUCCGGCUAACUCCGUG
rnacentral:rRNA from 1 species